rnacentral:rRNA from 1 species
AUUGAACGCUGGCGGCAGGCCUAACACACGCAAGUCGAGCGGAUGAAGGGGGCUUGCUCCUGGAUUCAGCGGCGGACGGGUGAGUAAUGCCUAGGAAUCUGCCUGGUAGUGGGGGAUAACGUCCGGAAACGGGCGCUAAUACCGCAUACGUCCUGAGGGAGAAAGUGGGGGAUCUUCGGACCUCACGCUAUCAGAUGAGCCUAGGUCGGAUUAGCUAGUUGGUGGGGUAAAGGCCUACCAAGGCGACGAUCCGUAACUGGUCUGAGAGGAUGAUCAGUCACACUGGAACUGAGACACGGUCCAGACUCCUACGGGAGGCAGCAGUGGGGAAUAUUGGACAAUGGGCGAAAGCCUGAUCCAGCCAUGCCGCGUGUGUGAAGAAGGUCUUCGGAUUGUAAAGCACUUUAAGUUGGGAGGAAGGGCAGUAAGUUAAUACCUUGCUGUUUUGACGUUACCAACAGAAUAAGCACCGGCUAACUUCGUG